UGNGGUUUGCAAAAGGGCUGCUGUAGU
rnacentral:piRNA from 1 species